rnacentral:rRNA from 1 species
UACGUAGGGUGCGAGCGUUAAUCGGAAUUACUGGGCGUAAAGCGUGCGCAGGCGGCGCGUUAAGCCAGGUGUGAAAGCCCCGAGCUUAACUUGGGAAUUGCGCUUGUGACUGGCGUGCUGGAGUGUGGCAGAGGGAGGUGGAAUUCCACGUGUAGCAGUGAAAUGCGUAGAGAUGUGGAGGAACACCGAUGGCGAAGGCAGCCUCCUGGGCCAGCACUGACGCUCAUGCACGAAAGCGUGGGGAGCAAACAGG